UACGGAGGGUGCGAGCGUUGUCCGGAAUCACUGGGCGUAAAGGGCGCGUAGGUGGCUCGUGAAGCGUGCGGUGAAAGUCCGAGGCUCAACCUCGGAUCGGCCGUGCGAACUGGGGGGCUGGAGCACUGUAGAGGCAGGCGGAAUUCCGGGUGUAGCGGUGGAAUGCGUAGAGAUCCGGAAGAACACCGGUGGCGAAGGCGGCCUGCUGGGCAGUUUUGCUGACACUGAGGCGCGACAGCGUGGGGAGCAAACAGG
rnacentral:rRNA from 1 species